AGAAAGGUGACUGAGUGGCUUAAGGUGGGCAUCAUCCGAAAGGGAAUGCUUUCUAGUUAAUAGCUGGACGCAAGUUCGAAUCCUGUCCUUUCUC
rnacentral:tRNA from 1 species